GACCAGAUUGUUUUCCUAUAAAAUGGUAUAAGAGCACAAGACUCUUAAUCUUAGGGUUGUGGGUUCGAAUCCCAUGUUGGGCA